GCCCUGAAUAAUGUAUUUCAUCUGCUACCAAGAACACGGAUUUCCCAGUUACACACAUCAGCAUUUCAUUGUAUCAUUUUACAUGAUACACUAUGAAUAUAACAAUGAUGAUGUUGCAGAGGAAUAAUUUUUUAACGUCUUUUAAAAUAUCCUGGAAUAUUCUGGUCACCUUAAAAACUGUUUUGUGAAAUUCAUUCUAGAGUUUUCUUUAUAGAUGUGUUAUAAAAAUAUAAAGGGAAAAAAACCGCUACAAAUAUUUUUGGAAUGCUCUUUUUAAAAACAUGCUCACAUUCUGAUAGAAUUAUUUAUAUUUUUAACAGGGAAUGGCUUCACCAACAGAAACCAAAUAUUCUGGAUGUGACUGACCCUUUGCCAUAAGCCUGAUAAAACAAACCAGGAUAGGCGUCCACAUAUAUAAAGAAAAAGAAAACGUGCAAAAUUGCCUAGUGACUAACAGCCAGAGGAAAUUAACAAGAGUCUGCAUGCAAAUAAAGCGGGGAGCAAGGGUCUCUUCUCUCCAUUUAGGUGUAAAAUACAACGCAAGGUGGGGAAUCUCUCAAAAUAGGAUCCGGAGAAAGCCGUACCCAGCAUAGCCCAUAACCUGUACAUUCGAAGCUAGACCGCACCCCUCACAGCAAACCCCAAGAGUUCAGCCGUUGGUUAUCCGCUCUAAGCAACAGGGCUUCUUUCCAAGCUCGGGACCCCGCGCGGGGAGAGGCGCCAGUUGGGGGUCCGGUCGGCCACGCCACCUACGCCGGGACGGCUGCCUCCGCGGCGCGACGCUCCCACGGACUUAGCUGGGAUGCAGAAUAGAAGCUGGGCCUUUGUCUGACUACCCUGCAACAGUCAGCCACAGACGGGAAGGCAGCGCAGGAAACUGAGGCCAAAGGAGCCGCGCUUCCUCAUGAGCAUGAAGCGGCAAAGCCUGAACUAGAAGCUUCUAACGCCUAACCGUCCUCUUGCCGCACCAGGACCUACCUCUGCAAGGCCCUUCCUGACUUUUUCCUUAGAAUGUGUGUAUAUGUGUCUUUUUCCUUUUCUGAUGCUAAGACACCUCAGAAACACCAAUGUUAAGCAGAUUUCCAUCGUUGGAGGUUAAAACACCCGAAUACAAGUGUUUUCUUGAGUGUGGCAUCUGGUCAGAUGUUUUAUGGGUUGGUUUGUUUUUAAAAAAAAAAAAUUUCCUGUUAGAUGGGUGGUAAGAACCAGUCAGAGUUUGUAAACCCACCAAGCACGAGGCGGUCGGACCGUCCAGAUUCUGGAGUCCAGAAGACACCAAACGUUCUCAGAAUGCCGAACGCGGGCGCCACCUGGUGGGACUAGAACGCUUAUUGUCCCAAAUCAGCAUAGCACACAGUUCCCAUAAAUCUUAAAAAUUCCCAUCCAAGGCUCAUUUCCGUGUGACUAAAAGUCAUAUUCUCUGUUCUCGUGACUCCAAGUAAAAAUGUCCCUAAAGAGCCAAAGUAUCUUCACUGUAUAAACUAAUAAUCUAUUGGUUUGGGGAAUUUUAUUUUUUGUGAUCAAUGUUACUUUAGCCUUUCUAUGAUAUACAUAUAAAUAAAAAAGUUUUCUUCC
rnacentral:lncRNA from 1 species